AGUGAACGCUGGCGGUAGGCCUAACACAUGCAAGUCGAACGGCAGCACAGUAAGAGCUUGCUCUUCCGGGUGGCGAGUGGCGGACGGGUGAGGUAUACAUCGGAAUCUACUUUUUCGUGGGGGAUAACGUAGGGAGACUUACGAUAAUACCGCAUACGACCUACGGGUGAAAGCAGGGGAUCUUCGGACCUUGCGCGAUUGAAUGAGCCGAUGUCGGAUUAGCUAGUUGGCGGGGUGAUGGCCCACCAAGGCGACGAUCCGUAGCUGGUCUGAGAGGAUGGUCGGCGACAUGGGAACUUGGACACGGACAAGGGUCCUACGGGAGGCAGCAGUGGGGAAUGGUGGACAAUGGGCGCAAGCCUGAUCCAGCCAUACCGCGUGGGUGAAGGAGGCCUUCGGGUUGUAAAGCCCUUUUGUGGGGAAAGAAAAGCAGCAGGUUAAUACCCCGCUGUUCUGACGGUACCCAAAGAAUAAGCACCGGCUAACUUCGUG
rnacentral:rRNA from 1 species